AAUAGACAGCAAAAUAGCAGAACUCCUUAACAGCAAUUAACCGCAAAUGGAUUACACCUUCCAAUUAAAAGGCAGAGAUCGGCAGAAUGGAUUAUAAAAGGAUAACCAUUCCGGAAAACCCAGACUCAAUAAAAAAAUAAAAAUAAAGAGGAUAACUGGACAGUUCAACAAUAAUGGCUGGAGACUUCAGUGCCUUCACUUUCCAUCGUGGAUCUAACAACAGGAAGAAAACACACCGGGAAACAGAAGACCUGAAUAGCACUAACUGCUCCUGAGAUGCCUCCAGACCACUCCACCUGGUGACAGAAAAACAGACUUUCCUCCCAGUGCACAGGAUUCUUCUCCAAAAAGACUCUAUGUUAGGCCACAGAUCACACGUUGGAGAAUUAAAACGGACGGCAAUAAUACAAAGCGUGCUCUCCAACCACAGCAGAAUGAAGUUAGGAAUCAGUAACAGGAGAGAAUUUGGAAAAAUCAAAAACAUGAAAAUUAAGUACCACACUCUUAAAUAACCAAUCAGUCAAGAAAGAGAUCACGAGGGAGGCGGGCACGUUGGCUCACGCCUGUGAUCCCAGCAGUCUGGGGGGCCGAGGCAGGAGGAUCACUUGAGUCCAGGAGUUCGAGACCAGCCUGGGCAACACAGCAAGACCCAGUCUCUACAGAAAAUACAAAAAAUAGCCGGGGCGUGGUGGUGAUACGAGAGGGGGGCAGGGAAGUGCUGGGUAGAGAAAGGAGGGUCCCCGGCCUCGGUGAGGACAGGCUCUCCUGCUCUCCUGCCCAAAUGUUGCAUUUUCCAAGACCACCCUGGCCCGCCAUGCCCCCAUCCUGGUACUAUAAAAACCCAAGACCCUAGCAGGCCGACAAGGCAGCCGGACGUGGAGAGGAGCAGAUCAGUGGAAGAAGACGCCAGCGGCUGCUCGGCAGGAAGACGGCGAGGGAGCAGCAGCCACCGGCGGCGGGACCAGGCGGGGUUUGGCCGGUUGGAGGAGAGCCGGGGCCGCCGAGCAGCCCGCGUCCAGGGCAGAACCGUCUCCCUUCCGGCUCCCCCAGCGGCUGAGAGCUCCUUCCAGGCAAUACGACCCUGGGCGCAUUCUCCAGGCCACGCGUGAUCAGAUUCUGCCGGUACACCGAAGCAGGAACCCGGGAUACGGAAAGCGUCGGUCCUUGCGGCGAGGCGGGGGUCCCAGCACAAACCACCCCCAGACGGCAAACCAGCCGUGCAGCCUGGAACCCACGCCCACCGGGGCCUCAGGCGCCGCGAGACGCUGCCGCGGGGUCGGAGCCCCGCAGCCCGCCCGUCCCCGGAGGCGGCCACCCCCCACCACACCCCCGCGAGGCGCGCGAGGGGCUCUGCGGCUUCUGCGCUCACGCCCGUCGUCCCAGCUGCUCCGUGAGCCCGAGCGCGGGCGAGGCCUGAGUCACACUGAGUCACUGCGCCCCAGCGCGGGCGACGAGAGCCCGUCCCAACAGCAACGACGAGAGGGCGAGGAAGGGGAGGGCGGUGAGGGCACCCGGGACCUCGUGGUGUAUUUUGACGACGGAAUGCGCUUUCGGAGGCGACAGUGGUGACGACGCAGAUGAGGUGACGUGCGCUGGAAGCGCCCCGAGCGCCACCCUGGGCCCGCACACGACUCGGUUUUGCACAGAGCGCGCCUGCCCUGCUGUCUGGCUUGGCGGACAACGAACCAUUUGGUCAGGGCCCAGGCGACCUGUGUGGUCCCGGGGAGGGGCAUGGAGAUGGUGACAGGGUAUCUUCUCCACGCCUCCCUCCCUUCCCCCACUGCCACCUCCGGUUUCCUGGGCAUGGGGCGAAGGGCGACAUCCGAGUCACUGAAGCAGGAAGCAGAGUUGGAAGAGGAGCCGGGAUGGAGAGGCUGGCGUGAGCACAGUGACCAGGACUGAUGCCAGGAGAGGAGAAAGAUGAUGGUGUUAAGGAAACGUGUGGACCCCAGGUCUCCAGCAGUUGAGACUGGUUAGAGCCACGACAACUGACAAAAGCAGCCAAGGAAAGGAAGACAGCGGGAAGUUCACCGCCCAUUUCCAGAAGACAUGAAUAUUCUUCCCCUCGCUGUUCACCUCCAGCCCCUUCAGUACAGAAACCCUACAUUUAGCCCCUGCCCGCUCACCUGUUGAGAAGUUGAACUGUGGGCCAAGCUCCUGCUUCUCAGUCCGUGGUCACUGAAUAAAGUCGGCUUCGGUUUCAUGUAUCGGCUUCGUGACACCAAACAGGGAAGGACCCCAUCUUUUGGGCAACCGGCUUUCUCAGUAGCAUGUGGACAAGUCUGAGAGCUAAGGACUCCCGGGAAGACCCACUCACAGGAGGUCUCCAUGCUCUUGUGAAUUUUACUUCCUGGAAUGCUGCCAGGUUCUCACAGCGAAAAUCAGAGAAAACCCCCUCAGGGCUCUAGCAGAGACAGGGGAGAAGGGACCAUUUUGAAAUACGCCAGAGUGCUCUGCCCUCUUUAGGAAAAGAAUGGGUUCAUGUCCUUCGCAGGGACAGGGAUGAAGCUGGAAACCAUCAUUCUCAGCAAACCAACACAGGAACA
rnacentral:lncRNA from 1 species